UAAGUGAAAUGGAUUUUUCCGCCUAAAGAAAGGCUCGCGGCUGAUUAGCUAGUUGGUAAGGUAAUGGCUUACCAAGGCGACGAUCAGUAUCUGGUUUGAGAGGACGAUCAGACACACUGGAACUGAGACACGGUCCAGACUCCUACGGGAGGCAGCAGUGGGGAAUUUUCCGCAAUGGGCGAAAGCCUGACGGAGCAAUACCGCGUGAGGGAAGACAGCCUACUGGGUUGUAAACCUCUUUUUUCAGGGAGGAAAAAAAUGACGUGUACCUGAAGAAUAAGCAUCGGCUAACUCCGUGCCAGCAGCCGCGGUAAGACGGAGGAUGCAAGUGUUAUCCGGAAUUACUGGGCGUAAAGCGUCUGUAGGUUGUUUAAUAAGUCAACUGUUAAAUCUUGAGGCUUAACUUCAAAACAGCAGUCGAAACUAUUAGACUAGAGUAUAGUAGGGGUAAAGGGAAUUUCCAGUGGAGC
rnacentral:rRNA from 1 species